rnacentral:rRNA from 1 species
AGUGAACGCUGGCGGUAGGCCUAACACAUGCAAGUCGAACGGCAGCACAGUAAGAGCUUGCUCUUACGGGUGGCGAGUGGCGGACGGGUGAGGAAUACAUCGGAAUCUACUUUUUCGUGGGGGAUAACGUAGGGAAACUUACGCUAAUACCGCAUACGACCUACGGGUGAAAGCAGGGGAUCUUCGGACCUUGCGCGAUUGAAUGAGCCGAUGUCGGAUUAGCUAGUUGGCGGGGUAAAGGCCCACCAAGGCGACGAUCCGUAGCUGGUCUGAGAGGAUGAUCAGCCACACUGGAACUGAGACACGGUCCAGACUCCUACGGGAGGCAGCAGUGGGGAAUAUUGGACAAUGGGCGCAAGCCUGAUCCAGCCAUGCCGCGUGGGUGAAGAAGGCCUUCGGGUUGUAAAGCCCUCUUGUUGGGAAAGAAAAGCAGCAGGUUAAUACCCCGCUGUUCUGACGGUACCCAAAGAAUAAGCACCGGCUAACUUCGUG